UACCCAGAACAGGCGGAGCAACAGGCGGAAAGAGCGCGGAGCAAACGGCGGGCGGCCAGCGGAUACCACCGGGGACACCGGGACAGGUGGCACUGGUGGCACCGGUACUGGUGGUACUGGAGUCACCGGUACCGGUUGUACUGGUGUCACUGGUACUGGUGUCACCGGUACUGGUGGUACUGGUGGUACCAGUGUCAGUGGUACCGGUAGCCCUCAUACUGGUGGUACUGGUGUUACUGGUGUUACUGGUGUUACUGGUUCCACCGGUAGCAGAGGCGUCACUGGUGGUCCUGCUGUCACUGGUACCGGUUGUACUGGUGGUACUGGUUGUACUGGUGUUACUGGUGUUACUGGUUUUACUGGUGGUACUGGUGUUACUGGUGGUACUGGUGUUACUGGUGUUACUGGUGGUACUGGUGGUACUGGUUUUACUGGUGGUACCGGUCCAUUUUUCAGCCCCGGGGGUCGCGGUGACGUAAUCGGUGACGUAAUCGGUGACGUCAUCAUCGACGGUGAUGUAAUCGAUGGGGGUUCCAUCGCCUGCGCCCAGGGACACCAGUGAGACCAGUAAGGGCUCCCAGUGAAACCAGUAACGGCUCCCAGUGCUCCCAGUAACCCCCCAGUGAAACCAGUAACCCCCCAGUGAGACCAGUAACCCCGCAGUGAAACCAGUAAGGGCUCCCAGUGAAACCAGUAACGGCUCCCAGUGAGACCAGUAACCCCCCAGUGGUCCCAGUAACCCCAGUCCCUCCCAGUCCCCUCCCAGUCCCUCCCAUUCCCCUCCCAGUCCCUCCCAGUCCAUCCCAGUCCCUCCCAGUUCCCAUUUAACCCUUCCCAGUCCAUCCCAGUCCAUCCCAGUCCAUCCCAGUUUACCCAGGACGUUGACCCUGGCGAUGGCCUCGGGGCUGCAGUUCCCCCAAACGUCC
rnacentral:lncRNA from 1 species